rnacentral:rRNA from 1 species
GAUAGAGGAUGCUAGCGUUAUCCGGAAUGAUUGGGCGUAAAGCAUCUGUAGGUGGCUUUUCAAGUCCGCCGUCAAAUCCCAGGGCUCAACCCUGGACAGGCGGUGGAAACUACCAAGCUGGAGUAUGGUAGGGGCAGAAGGAAUUUCCGGUGGAGCGGUGAAAUGCAUUGAGAUCAGAAAGAACACCAAUGGCGAAAGCACUCUGUUGGGCCAACACUGACACUGAGAGAUGAAAGCUAGGGGAGCAAAAUGGG